rnacentral:rRNA from 1 species
GACGAACGCUGGCGGCGUGCUUAACACAUGCAAGUCGAACGGAAAGGCCCUGCUUGCAGGGUACUCGAGUGGCGAACGGGUGAGUAACACGUGGGUGAUCUGCCCUGCACUUCGGGAUAAGCCUGGGAAACUGGGUCUAAUACCGGAUAGGAGCCAUUUUUAGUGUGAUGGUUGGAAAGUUUUUUCGGUGUAGGAUGAGCUCGCGGCCUAUCAGCUUGUUGGUGGGGUAAUGGCCUACCAAGGCGGCGACGGGUAGCCGGCCUGAGAGGGUGGACGGCCACAUUGGGACUGAGAUACGGCCCAGACUCCUACGGGAGGCAGCAGUGGGGAAUAUUGCACAAUGGGCGCAAGCCUGAUGCAGCGACGCCGCGUGGGGGAUGACGGCCUUCGGGUUGUAAACUCCUUUCGCUAGGGACGAAGCUUUUUGUGACGGUACCUAGAUAAGAAGCACCUGCUAACUACGUG